GUGUCAGCCGCCGCGGUAAUACGUAGGGUGCGAGCGUUAAUCGGAAUUACUGGGCGUAAAGCGUGCGCAGGCGGUUGUGUAAGAUCGAUGUGAAAUCCCCGGGCUUUACCUGGGAACUGCGUUGAUGACUGCACAACUCGAGUACGGCAGGGGGGGGUGGGAUUCCUGGAGUAGCAUUGACAUGCGUAGAGAUUAGGAGAAACACCGAUGGCGAAGGCAGCCCCCUGGGCCGAUACUGACGCUCAUGCACGAAAGCGUGGGGAGCAAACAGGAUUAGAUACCCUGGUAGUCCACGCCCUAAACGAUGUCGACUAGGUGUUCGGUGAGGAGACUCAUUGAGUACCGCAGCUAACGCGUGAAGUCGACCGCCUGGGGAGUACGGUCGCAAGAUUAAAACUUAAAGGAAUUGACGG
rnacentral:rRNA from 1 species